AUGCACGCUGGCGGCGUGCCUAAUACAUGCAAGUCGAGCGAACAGACGAGGAGCUUGCUCCUCUGACGUUAGCGGCGGACGGGUGAGUAACACGUGGAUAACCUACCUAUAAGACUGGGAUAACUUCGGGAAACCGGAGCUAAUACCGGAUAAUAUAUUGAACCGCAUGGUUCAAUAGUGAAAGACGGUUUUGCCGUCACUUAUAGAUGGAUCCGCGCCGCAUUAGCUAGUUGGUAAGGUAACGGCUUACCAAGGCAACGAUGCGUAGCCGACCUGAGAGGGUGAUCGGCCACACUGGAACUGAGACACGGUCCAGACUCCUACGGGAGGCAGCAGUAGGGAAUCUUCCGCAAUGGGCGAAAGCCUGACGGAGCAACGCCGCGUGAGUGAUGAAGGUCUUCGGAUCGUAAAACUCUGUUAUUAGGGAAGAACAAAUGUGUAAGUAACUAUGCACGUCUUGACGGUACCUAAUCAGAAAGCCACGGCUAACUACGUG
rnacentral:rRNA from 1 species